rnacentral:rRNA from 1 species
UACGGAGGGUGCAAGCGUUAUCCGGAUUCACUGGGUUUAAAGGGUGCGUAGGUGGGUUGGUAAGUCAGUGGUGAAAUCCCCGAGCUUAACUUGGGAACUGCCAUUGAUACUAUCUGUCUUGAAUAUCGUGGAGGUAAGCGGAAUAUGUCAUGUAGCGGUGAAAUGCUUAGAUAUGACAUAGAACACCAAUUGCGAAGGCAGCUUACUACCCGAAUAUUGACACUGAGGCACGAAAGCGUGGGGAUCAAACAGG